rnacentral:rRNA from 1 species
GUCGUAACAAGGUUUCCGUAGGUGAACCUGCGGAAGGAUCAUUACAGAGACGGGCUCUCGGGCUCGGGGGACUCCGGUCCCAAACUCUUCACCCGUGAUUAUAUACCUUUCUGUUGCUUUGGCGGGCCUUGGGGUCAAGCCCAUGCCGGUCGCCCGGUGCGAGCCUGCCAACAGCCCCCCACAACUCGUUUUAUCAGUGAUGUCUGAGUCUAAACAUAAUAAUCAAAACUUUCAACAACGGAUCUCUUGGUUCUGGCAUCGAUGAAGAACGCAGCGAAAUGCGAUAAGUAAUGUGAAUUGCAGAAUUCAGUGAAUCAUCGAAUCUUUGAACGCACAUUGCGCCCCUCGGUAUUCCGGGGGGCAUGCCUGUUCGAGCGUCAUUACACCCCUCAAGCGUAGCUUGGUAUUGGGUCCUCGCCCCCGGGGCGUGCCCGAAAGAUAUUGGCGGUCCGGUGUGACUUUGAGCGUAGUAAAUUAUCUUCCGCUUUGAAAGCUCACCCCGUGGCUGCCAGACAACCCACCAUAUUAUCAAUCAUUGACCUCGGAUCAGGUAGGGAUACCCGCUGAACUUAAGCAUAUCAAUAAGCGGAGGAAAAGAAACCAACAGGGAUUGCCUCAGUAACGGCGAGUGAAGCGGCAACAGCUCAAAUUUGAAAUCUGGCCCUUUCAGGGUUCCGAGUUGUAAUUUGUAGAAGAUGUUUCGGGUGAGGCGCCGGUCUAAGUCCCUUGGAACAGGGUGUCAUAGAGGGUGAGAAUCCCGUAUGUGACCGGUGACCGAGUCCAUGUGAAACUCCUUCGACGAGUCGAGUUGUUUGGGAAUGCAGCUCAAAACGGGUGGUAAAUUUCAUCUAAAGCUAAAUACCGGCCAGAGACCGAUAGCGCACAAGUAGAGUGAUCGAAAGAUGAAAAGCACUUUGGAAAGAGAGUUAAAAAGUACGUGAAAUUGUUGAAAGGGAAGCGCUUGCAACCAGACCUGCCUGUGGGCGUUCAGCGGGGGUUCUCCCCCGUGCAUUCGUCCACAAACAGGCCAGCAUCGGUUCCGGUGGCCGGAUAAAGGCCCCAGGAAUGUAGCUCCCUCCGGGGAGUGUUAUAGCCUGGGGUGCAAUACGGCCAACCGGGACCGAGGACCGCGCUUCGGCUAGGAUGCUGGCGUAAUGGUUGUAAGCGAC